GAUGAACGCUGGCGGCGUGCCUAAUACAUGCAAGUCGAGCGAACGGACGAGAAGCUUGCUUCUCUGAUGUUAGCGGCGGACGGGUGAGUAACACGUGGAUAACCUACCUAUAAGACUGGGAUAACUUCGGGAAACCGUAGCUAAUACCGGAUAAUAUUUUGAACCGCAUGGUUCAAAAGUGAAAGACGGUCUUGCUGUCACUUAUAGAUGGAUCCGCGCUGCAUUAGCUAGUUGGUAAGGUAACGGCUUACCAAGGCAACGAUGCAUAGCCGACUGAGAGGGUGAUCGGCCACACUGGAACUGAGACACGGUCCAGACUCCUACGGGAGGCAGCAGUAGGGAAUCUUCCGCAAUGGGCGAAAGCCUGACGGAGCAACGCCGCGUGAGUGAUGAAGGUCUUCGGAUCGUAAAACUCUGUUAUUAGGGAAGAACAUAUGUGUAAGUAACUGUGCACAUCUUGACGGUACCUAAUCAGAAAGCCACGGCUAACUACGUG
rnacentral:rRNA from 1 species